UGUCAAGUUAUUAAAUAUUUUAUGUACUACAAAAUAAUUCACUUUCAAAAUAAUCAACGUAUUUCUAAAACAUAGCAUAUUAAUAAAUUUACAUAAUAAAAUAUUAUUACACUGGAAAAUAAUUUAUGAUAUCAAUCUCUAAAUAAAAUUGAAGUCCAGGAAGAAAAUUGAAAGAAAAACGCGAAGAUAAAAUAAAUAAUUCCACAAAAAAAAUAUGUCAGUAUCACAAGCGAUAGAUGUUUCGUAGGUCCAGCAUCUAGCCACGUUUCUGAUAGUGUAUCCACCUCCUCCAAGCAUCAGCAAUGGCAAAUUGAAUCGCUUCAUAAAUUCCACACAUUUUCCGUGACCUUUUAUUAAUGUUUGGCAUGAUGAAGUUCAAAAAAUAAAAUAGUUAAUUCUUUUAA